rnacentral:misc_RNA from 1 species
GGCCGGUACACGGGAUGCGACAUGGCGACAUGGAGCGGAUCCCUGAAAACCGGUCUCAGUUCGGAUCGGAGCCUGCAACCCGGCUCCGUGAAGGCGGAGUCGCUAGUAAUCGCGGAUCAGCAACGCCGCGGUGAAUGCGUUCCCGGGCCUUGUACACACCGCCCGUCAAGUCAUGAAAGUGGGCAGCACCCGAAGCCGGUGGCCUAACCCCUUGUGGGAAGGAACCGUUUAAGGUGAGGCUUGUGAUUGGGAAUAAGUUGUAACAAGGUAGCCGUACCGGAAGGUGCGGCUGGAUCACCUCCUUUUUACGGAGAUUUCAGGCCCCUGUUUGGUGGCCGGUGUGUGCCCCCUGCCCCGGAUGUGCCGGGUGCGCGGGGGUUGCUGGUGUGGAAGAGUGGAGUCGGCCUUUGGGCGUGCCGGUCGUGCGGUGCGUCCAGGAGUGGUGCGGGCAUGCUUUUGGGUUCCCGGACCGCCCCCCCGCGCCGUUUGGCGUGGCUGGUGUUCCGUGCCCCGUGCCGGUCGCCCGUCCCCUGGUGGGGUGGGUGGGCUCGCGUGCGGGUGCGUGGUGGUUUGAGAACUGGAUAGUGGACGCGAGCAGGGGACGCCCUUUUCGGGGGUGUCUUCUGCUGUUGAUUUCGCCGGACUCUUCGGAGUCUGGUGUUUGAUCGUUUUGUGUGUGAUCAUUUGUGUGAUGAUUUGUGUUGCCAGCGGAGUUUUUGCCGUGGGCUUGCGGUUUCCCGC